AUUCAUUACCUCGCACAGAUCGUUUGUCUUGCGCAUCUCUGCCGUUAUUUAUUAUUUCACGGUGAUAAACGGGCGGGUUUAGCAGAGCAGGGCCACCUCCGGGCCGUGAGCCGCACUUUGAUGAGGCAAAACAAGCCGUUAAUUCUGAAUUGCUCCUCUGCAGGGCGCUCUCUCCGCAUGUUGCCACUAGGGGGAGGGGGGUGUCUCACCCGUUCAAAAUAAGUUCAUAGCAGGCUGGUGCUAAGCUCCACAGGCAAGAGCUGGGCGCCUUCAGUCCAUGCCACGAGAGCAGUGCCGCCCUGUGCAGCCUUCUUCGGCAGCUGGCACUGCUCUGCUGAAUGUCUGGCUCCGGGUUGCACUGCUAAAUACAUCACAGGCACCACAGUGCCCACAGGGUACGUGCCACAGCUUUAAUGUCAGUCAGUGAACGGUGCCCUGGGCACAAGCCAUGAUCUUCAGUCAGAGCCAUGGCUGAGUGCAUCAGAGACACAAGCGGGGAUGCAUCUGGAAGGUGAGACCAACAUUCCCAGUCUGGUGUCAUGCUGAAAACGCAGCCCAGGUGUUGCUGAGUCAGAGCUGGGCCCAGCCUGGUGCUGGGAUGCUCCUGCCUGCCCACAACCAGCCACCACCCACAGGUUUCUGCUCUGACUGCUCCACUGCCCUCGCUUGGAAGAUUUUGCACCUCAGCUUUUCUUGGCAAGGGUUUGUCUCCAUGUUUUGUGGGGAGAAAGCAAACACCAGAGCUGCGCCUUGUUAGCUGUAUUCUGUAAGCCCUGGCUGUGCAUUGGGAAGGGCUGAGGGAGACCCCCAUGCAUAGAGAAUAACAGGGCUUUUAAAAUCCUGAUUACAUAGGCAGCUGCCUCGCUUACAGGAGAAAUAAUCACAGGAAUAAUAACAACGUGAAGAAAUACACAGUUGCUCUCUGGAAAUGAGUAAUACAUUGUUACCAGGGUCUAUUAAAAUGUAAUAGUUACUGUAAUUCAACUUCUAAUAAGUAAAAUAGCAUUUAUUUAGUGCUAGAAGAAGUGAUUGGUUUGGAGGUAUCUUAGCAGUAUUUAAAGCACAGCUGGAAUCAUUCACAUCUGAUGCAGGUGGGUGAGGAGAUGUGUUGGGGCAGCACGGCUGCAGCCUGGCUUCUGGGUGAAGCUGAGAGUUAUUUUUAAACUGAAAAGUCCUUUUUUUGGUGAUCCUGAAGUCAUCCUGCUGGGCCCAUUUAACUGGUGGGAGGUGGAUGAAUUUCUUUGUUGUAGGCAGUUUUAUCACAGCCAUCUCACUUCUCCUUCAGUGCUCGGUUAUUCCUGGUUGUCUUCUCAUGGUGUUGGGUUUUUUUUUGGUAAAACAGGAGACUGCUGAGGCCUUUUCUUCAUCCUUUGACCCCUUCCAAAGUGCACACACUGCUCUCAGUGACAGCUGACCCAGGAUUUUGGCAGUACGAAUGGCUUUUUGUGGUCGAUGCUUUGUGAGAUUCCAUUCUGAACGUGAGCCAGCACAGUGCUGCUGGGUGGAAGAGGUAACCUUUGCAAUUUGAACAUAAAGAAUUAAAACAAGCA